AGCGGGAUAGGUAAGCUAGGUUUAUAUCGCCUGCCCCAUAAGCAGGAAAUCGUUGGUUCAAAUCCAACUCCCGCUA
rnacentral:tRNA from 1 species